rnacentral:rRNA from 1 species
GAUGAACGCUAGCUACAGGCUUAACACAUGCAAGUCGAGGGGUAACGAGAGGAAAGCUUGCUUUCCUUGUCGACGACCGGCGCACGGGUGAGUAACGCGUAUCCAACCUGCCCCCAACUAGGGAAUAACCUUGCGAAAGUAAGACUAAUACCCUAUAAUUUCCUCAGAUGCCAUCUGACGAGGAAUAAAGAUUUAUCGGUUGUGGAUGGGGAUGCGUCUGAUUAGCUUGUUGGCGGGGUAACGGCCCACCAAGACAACGAUCAGUAGGGGUUUUGAGAGGAAGGUCCCCCACAUUGGAACUGAGACACGGUCCAAACUCCUACGGGAGGCAGCAGUGAGGAAUAUUGGUCAAUGGGCGGAAGCCUGAACCAGCCAAGUAGCGUGCAGGAUGACGGCCCUAUGGGUUGUAAACUGCUUUUAUACAGGAAUAAAGUUAGCCACGUGUGGUUAUUUGUAGGUACUGUAUGAAUAAGGACCGGCUAAUUCCGUGCCAGCCGCCGCCGUAA